rnacentral:rRNA from 1 species
GUAGGGGUGAACCUGCGGAGGGAUCAUUACAAGUGACCCCGGUCUAACCACCGGGAUGUUCAUAACCCUUUGUUGUCCGACUCUGUUGCCUCCGGGGCGACCCUGCCUUCGGGCGGGGGCUCCGGGUGGACACUUCAAACUCUUGCGUAACUUUGCAGUCUGAGUAAACUUAAUUAAUAAAUUAAAACUUUUAACAACGGAUCUCUUGGUUCUGGCAUCGAUGAAGAACGCAGCGAAAUGCGAUAAGUAAUGUGAAUUGCAGAAUUCAGUGAAUCAUCGAAUCUUUGAACGCACAUUGCGCCCCCUGGUAUUCCGGGGGGCAUGCCUGUUCGAGCGUCAUUUCACCACUCAAGCCUCGCUUGGUAUUGGGCAACGCGGUCCGCCGCGUGCCUCAAAUCGACCGGCUGGGUCUUCUGUCCCCUAAGCGUUGUGGAAACUAUUCGCUAAAGGGUGCUCGGGAGGCUACGCCGUAAAACAAACCCAUUUCUAAGGUUGACCUCGGAUCAGGUAGGGAUACCCGCUGAACUUAAGCAUAUCAUAAG